UACGUAGGGUGCAAGCGUUGUCCGGAAUUAUUGGGCGUAAAGAGCUCGUAGGCGGUUUGUCGCGUCUGCUGUGAAAACUCGGGGCUUAACUCCGGGCCUGCAGUGGGUACGGGCAGACUAGAGUGCGGUAGGGGAGACUGGAAUUCCUGGUGUAGCGGUGAAAUGCGCAGAUAUCAGGAGGAACACCGGUGGCGAAGGCGGGUUGCUGGGCCGACACUGACGCUGAGGCGCGAAAGCCAGGGGAGCGAACGGG
rnacentral:rRNA from 1 species